GAAAUGCGAUAAGUAGUGUGAAUUGCAGAAUUCAGUGAAUCAUCGAAUCUUUGAACGCACAUUGCGCCCCUUGGUAUUCCAUGGGGCAUGCCUGUUCGAGCGUCAUUUGUACCCUCAAGCUCUGCUUGGUGUUGGGUGUUUGUCCCCGUCUCCGCGCGUGGACUCGCCCCAAAGUGAUUGGCAGCCGGCGUACUGGUCCCGGAGCGCAGCACAUGUCGCGCAAACGAGUGCCUUGGUACGGCGGCGUCCAUAAGCCCCUCUCUCACGCUCUUGACCUCGGAUCAGGUAGGGACACCCGCUGAACUUAAGC
rnacentral:misc_RNA from 1 species